UCACUUCCGGAUGGUGGCAGAGAUGUGGUGGUCCCAAUGGUUGGGGCCGGCAGUUACGGGGAUCCAGCUGGACUAGAGUUCGGGGCGGUCGAGGUUUCACUGAUGGUGACAGCUAAUUUUUGUCCUUGAGAGCAAUUGUCUCUUUUAGAAAAGGUGUAGAAGAAGUAAUACUCGCAGGCGUUGUUGAGGGAAAAGGAUGCCUGCAGAGGUUCCCUUAACAUCGCAAGCAUCUCUGGUAGACAAUCUUCUGGGGGAUCAUUUGGUUUUGGAGCAAGUUGAUGAUGAGGAAGCUGAGAUGGUUUUGAUGGGAAGGAUCUUGUCGGAGAAGUGCUUGAGUCGAGCUGCAUAGCUAAUGUUUGAAGGAAAGCCUGGGCCGGUAUGGGUGAGAUUACUAUAACCCCUCGAAAUGAGAAGAUGUAUUUGUUCAGGUUUCACGAUUGGCACCAAGCAGAGAGAGUCCUAAGUUCUGGACCUUGGUCGAUUAGGGGAAAUUGCAAAAACCUGCAGAGAUGGGAUGCUCAGAGGAGACUGGAGGACCUCUGUUUUGAUGAACUGGAGAUGUGGCUGCAAAUACAUAAAUUGGCCUUCAACCGGAUGACAUAAAAACAGUACGAAAUCUAUUGCUCCUUUGGCGGGCAAAGUGGUGAAAGUUGGGUCAAUUCGCACCAAAUCUCUGGGUCUCGUGGAUUCCUUCGCGCUAAAGUUGCAGUGGAUGUUAACAAACCCCUCUUACGUGGAAAGUGGAGUGUCAGGGAUAAUGGUGAAAGGUAUUGGGUAGAGAUCCGAUAUGAGCGGAUGCCAUCCUUUUGUUACUCGUGGUUGAAACUGAGGUCGGGGAGUCAUGGCUUCCAAGUCACGAUUCCGUUCUUGGCCUAUUCCCUCUGUAAUUUAUAUUGUCAUACGAUAACCCAUAAAUAAAAUUAUUUAAUCUUUCAACUUU